GCUGGCGGCGCGCAUCAUGCAUGUAAGUCGAACGAGGGCUUACUUCUCGCAAGAGAGGUGAGUUCCUAGUGGCGAACGGGUGAGUAACACGUGGGCAACCUUCCCUAUCGCGGGGGAUAACACCGGGAAACCGAUGCUAAUACCGCAUGUUGUCACCGGCUUAUGGCCGGUGAAGAAAGCAGCAAUGCACGAUAGGAUGGGCCCGCGGCCUAUCAGCUAGUCGGUGGGGUAACGGCUCACCGAGGCGAUGACGGGUAGCUGGUCUGAGAGGACGACCAGCCACACGGGGACUGCGACACGGCCCCGACUCCUACGGGAGGCAGCAGCAAGGAAUCUUCCGCAAUGGGCGAAAGCCUGACGGAGCGACGCCGCGUGUGGGAUGAAGUCUUUCGGGAUGUAAACCACUGUCGGAGGGGAAGAUAGUGACGGUACCCUCCAAGAAAGCCCCGGCUAACUACGUGCCAGCAGCCGCGGUAAUACGUAGGGGGCAAGCGUUAUCCAGAUUUACUGGGCGUAAAGCGCGUGUAGGCGGCUGGUCAAGUGUGACGUGAAAUCUU
rnacentral:rRNA from 1 species